GGGUCAGUAGGUUGGUCGUGCCACCGGUACGUACUGGUCUCACUGAUUCCUCCUUCCUGAAGGACCGCAAUGCCAUUAAUUUGGUGUUGCGGGGAAACAGGACUGUUACUUUGAAAAAAUUAGAGUGUUUAAAGCAAGCUAACGCUUGAAUACAUUAGCAUGGAAUAAUGAAAUAGGACGAUCGAUCCUAUUUUGUUGGUUUCUAGGAUUGACGUA
rnacentral:rRNA from 1 species